rnacentral:rRNA from 1 species
AAUGAACGCUGGCGGCGUGCUUAACACAUGCAAGUCGAACGAUUAAAGCCCCUUCGGGGGUGUAUAGAGAGGCGAACGGGUGAGUAACACGUGGGCAAUCUGCCCUUCACUUCGGGAUAACUCAGGGAAACCUGAGCUAAUACCGGAUACUCCGGUCUGACCGCAUGGUCGGACCGGGAAAGUUCCGGCGGUGAGGGAUGAGCCCGCGGCCCAUUAGCUUGUUGGUGAGGUAACGGCUCACCAAGGCGACGAUGGGUAGCCGAGCUGAGAGGCUGAUCGGCCACGCUGGGACUGAGACACGGCCCAGACUCCUACGGGAGGCAGCAGUGGGGAAUCUUGCGCAAUGGGCGAAAGCCUGACGCAGCAACGCCGCGUGCGGGAUGAAGGCCUUCGGGAUGUAAACCGCUUUCAGCAGGGAUGAAACUGACAGUACCUGCAGAAGAAGCCCCGGCUAACUACGUGCCAGCCGCCGCGGUAAAAC